GGAGCAGAACAGCGGCGAGCUUUCACAGCCGAGAAACCACAGAGACGCAGGAGGCUGAUAAGAGUGAAACAAGCCAUUGAGUCUGGUUAAAAGAGAAGUUUUUCCAUUCCUGCAUAAGUGUGGGAAAGAGUUAUGCCAUGGGAAAAGAAAGAUAUUUGAUGGGAAAAAAUGUCCAUGGUGCUGAGAAACAAAUUGGCCGAUUUUCUUCCUGACAAGAGAGCCGAACAUGUAGCCUGUGAAGCCUCCGAGUGCCGUAUUGGCUCCACAACUUAAGAGUCCGGUCACAGCUUUGGUCUGGUCUCCUGUGAAAUCGGGAAGAAAACACACAACAAUCGCCGUUUGGCUUCAUUUGUGUUUGACUCUGGAGGGGACAAUUAUGUCAUACAGUAGAAUAACACCACUCUGGGUUGCCUCUCGUUGAUGAGCUUGGGAAAUAUCUCUGCAUCUGUAGCAUUUUUGUCCAUUGUAAUGUCUUCAUUGUGGUCGCACAAUGUGACGUCCUUCUGAAUGCACAAUCAGUGGCUCUGGUUAAUGAAUACAGCUUCCUUCUCUGACCUUGGCAGAGAUGAGUGAGUCCCUGUUGCCCACACAUGCAUGAUUGUACACACACGCGAACACACACAAACAUCUGCACAAGCACACCAAGCGGUCUCCCUGUCAACACGGUGAGGUAAAUGAGUCGCCGCUCAAUAGCCCGGGCCUCUAGUGGUGCAAAUUAUCAUUGUAUUCAUGAGCUGGCAGACCUGCUACAGCCGAAUAUCGGCUCACCGGCUGUGUUGCUGGCAGUUACAAGUACAAAUUGCGUGUGCUUUUUUUAGCUAAUCAAUGUAUUGACCAAUCUAUAAUGAGAAAGCACGCAUGUGUCCGCGUCAAACGCACUCACUCACAGGGAAACUGCCAGUGUCCGGAGGUCAACAGGAAUUAUUCAUGUAAUGUAGCUGUUGUGUAAGCUUAUAUUUGUUAAGCGUUGUUAAGCCGCCGUUUACGGGGGAGCCUAUUCCCCGCUAACUGCACCCUGUGGUGUACAUCCAUCCAUCAACAGUGUGGGUCAGGCCUAUUUGUUUGUUUAAAGAAUAUCCAUUUCAGCAGGCAAACAGAGCGUGUGUACAUUAGCUAUUUAUAACCCCACAUGAGCAUUGCUGUGCCUGCUGGACACAAACAGCAAGAGCUUAUGGAAAGCUGUACAUCACACUAUGGAUUAACAUUACAACCAGAAUCAGAACAUAUGCUCCAAUCGAGUGCGCGCUCCUAAGUGCCACGGGAACUUCAUUGUGUUUUCACCAUGGGAUUUUUCCCUAAUGUCUGGAGUGAUUUUUCUGUUAUACUUUAUUGAGAAUUUGGCAAAGAACUACCAUAAUGGACAAUGGUUAACUGAGCUAUGUUUUAAAAAGAGAGACAGAAGUUUGGGGUCAGUCAAUAAUACUAUGAUUGAACAAUUCUAUAUGAAACAUGGUAAAAGCUCAUGUUCUGAAAGCCUCAUUUGCACUGUUAACUCUUCCUCAGUUCAUUUUUGUGUACCCACAAACUGUUGUUAUUCAGUUGUUGUAUCAGAACUGGGCUGCAGAGAUGUACCUGCACAGAAAUACUUUGUCAUUUUGAGCAAGAAGACGUGCAAUCUGA